rnacentral:rRNA from 1 species
CUACGGGGCGCUCCAGUGAGGAAUAUUGCACAAUGGGGGGAACCCUGAUGCAGCAACGCCGCGUGGAGGAUGACGCAUUUCGGUGUGUAAACUCCUUUUAUAUGUCAAGAAAAUGACGGUAGCAUAUGAAUAAGCACCGGCUAACUCCGUGCCAGCAGCCGCGGUAAUACGGAGGCGGUGCAAGCGUUACUCGGAAUCACUGGGCGUAAAGGACGCGUAGGCGGGUUGGAAAGUCAGGUGUGAAAUCCUACAGCUUAACUGUAGAACUGCACUUGAAACUUCUAAUCUAGAGUAUGGGAGGGGGAGAUGGAAUUAGUGGUGUAGGGGUAAAAUCCGUAGAUAUCACUAGGAAUACCUAAAGCGAAGGCGAUCUCCUGGAACAUUACUGACGCUAAGGCGUGAAAGCGUGGGGAGCAAACAGGAUUAGAUACCCGGGUAGUC